rnacentral:lncRNA from 1 species
GGGGCUUCCAGAACCCAAACCAAGUCAGCAGCCCCCAGCCCCAGCCCCAGCCCCAGCCCCAGCCCCGGCCUCCCCUGUCUGAGGUGUCUGGGUUUAAUUUUCUGGUCAGUGCAGAAAGCAGGAGGAAGAGGACGAGGAGGAGGAGAAGAAAGGAGCGAGUUGAAGUUCUAAUGCAGUCGGCUGGGAUCUGUCACUCAGCGCACAGCCCGCUGACGACUCAGGGCAGCCCCAGCUGUAAGCAGCCCAUGAUUUAUGGACACCGAGUGAACUCCUGCGGCAGAAACCAGCCUUGAGAUCAGAGCGGCAAUAGGGCCCUUUUUUUGGCAGGAGACAGGGCCUGCAUUUUUCUCAUUCAUGCCAAACUGCUUUGCACGGCAAUUAGCUCUGUCCUCAUUUAGUCUCCAGUCCCAAAGGGUAAUGAAAGUCAUAUAUCAUCUUCAAGACUGCUAAUUAUUGAGCUCGCUUACAGUUGUCCGCCGACCUUCUGGAUUGUAAUCCAAACCAGCAGACUUCCGUGGGUGCGGUUAACUAAGGGAAGUUGUUUUUUGUGAAGAGAUUGCUCCGAUACAAGCUAAUAAUCCAUCAUAUCCAGAAGCAAAACAAAGAGCAUGGACUUCGGAGACAGACUUCCAGGAAUCGGAUCUCAGUUCCAUCAUUUACUUGUCCUGUGAUCAUGAGCAAGGGACAAGAGGGCUCCGGCGCGCUCUCCUCCCCAGGCCUGGGAAACAGGUUCUCAAGCGCCCUCCGACCUCCAAUCGAUCCCAGUCUCCCGCCUGCGACAGGGGAUGCUUGGAGAGCGAGGAGAGGGACGCGGGGAGCGGCACCUCCCCCAGGCCGAGGCUGGGCGGCCGAGUCCGACCUGCGCCGCUCUGAGCAAAACGAAACUCAAACUCCCAAAAUUCUCGACAGGGGAAUUUUAAAAAUUCCCCACCCCCCUUUCCUUUCACUUUUAACAAACCAGCAGCUGGGGGAAAAAUUAAACGAAAUGAGCGAUAGCUAAGGACGCUAUCUUUCCAAACUGUGAAACCCCUUUAAAAAAUAUUUUCGAAGGCCAGCCCCACAACUGGCCAGCUCUUCUGAAGCCUUUGCCUCUUCCUGAAAAUCACAUCAAAACAGUCGGAAAUGCGGCCAAGGUCCUGGGAUGGAGUAGCCGAGAGGCCCAGAGAACCCGCUGCUGCUGAAACCGCCAUGCUCUUCUUUCUCUUUAACCAAAAAAUAAAAAAGAUAAUAAUAAGAAGUAAAACCUUUUAAUACAUCAAAUAUACGGAAUUUUAAUCUUUAAAGCGAUACAUUGUCUAUUAUUUUAGUACAUGACGUAAACCUUACUUGUCCCCUUCUCAGCGGGUGGACUUAAAAAUUAAAAAUAGUUAAGUGUUCCUUUUAAAGAACAAAAUAAGGCAAAUGAGGUUUUGGAAUAGAAUUGUUUUUCCUUUUUUUUUUUUGUUUUCUUCCAGAAUACAUACAAAAAAAUACCCAUUCUCUUUCGAUGGUAUACACCUUAAAAAUAAUUGCAAUUUGAAAUCAGAGCUGACAAAUUGUGACUUGUUUUGUUUUUUUUUUCAUUUUUUGUAACAAACAUGCAUGUAAAUUUGUGUUUCAAUCAGACAUUAAAUAAGAACGUACAAUACAAUCAUAGCAAUUUUAAAGUAACAUUAAAGAGAAGACCUC